rnacentral:lncRNA from 1 species
AAACUAGUAUUUUUGUGCUCUAGUGCUUCUGUUCUAUUGUAACUUUGCAUCUUCUUGAUGCCUUUUAUUAAUGAAACACUUACUUCAUCAAAAAAAAUAUUUGGGUGAUGAGAAAUGGUGUUAGUACAUAUAUUUGGAAUGGUAGAAUCACCUAGAAGUAGUAGAAUGAGAAUUGGAUGACGAAAAUACCAUUAACAAGGCUAUGAGGCUUUACGCCCAUAAGGUGUGUGAUAAAAUGCCUAAGCGAUCAAAACAUAAGUAUUAUUGCUAAUAUGGAAUCCCUCUGACUUGUAUUGCUAUAGUUUAAAGUUGAAGGAUCGGCGAACGUUGUAUUAGCCUCAAGGGCAGGAAGUUAAAGUAUAUGAAGCUAACUCUCUACGUUUGGGAUGUCAAUGAUUCUCCCUACACUCUGUUUUUUUUUACAAUGUUACUAAUUGCCUCAGAAAUAUGCUUAAGCUUAGUUCCUUGAAUAGUUGCAGAACUUCUAUUCUCUAGCUUCGUAAUUUGUUCAUGACUUUUAGUCUGAAUGUUGUGAGCUCAGUGGAUGAUCAAUAUAGAGUUGUGUUUAAUGCCCAUGAGCCUCAGUGUAGAGUAC